AUUGAACGCUGGCGGCAGGCCUAACACAUGCAAGUCGAGCGAGCGGCGGACGGGUGAGUAAUGUCUGGGAAACUGCCUGAUGGAGGGAGAUAACUACUGGAAACGGUAGCUAAUACCGCAUACCAUCAGAUGUGCCCAGAUGGGAUUAGCUAGUGGGUGGGGUAAUGGCGCACCUAGGCGACGAUCCCUAGCUUGUCUGAGAGGAUGACAAGCCACACUGGGACUGAGACACGGCCCAGACUCCUACGGGAGGCAGCAGUAGGGAAUAUUGUGCAAUGGGCGCAAGCCUGAUGCAGCAAUGCCGCGUGUGUGAAGAAGGCCUUCGGGUUGUAAAGCACUUUCAGCGAGGAGGCGUUACUCGCAGAGGAAGCACCGGCUAACUCCGUGCCAGCAGCCGCGGUAAUUC
rnacentral:rRNA from 1 species